rnacentral:antisense_RNA from 17 species
CUUGAUGGAGCCGAGCAGCAGCGGCCGGUCCUCGGGCCGGUCCUGCCCGUACGUCGCCAGCAGCGCCUGGGCCUC